GUGGAUUAGAUACCCUGGUAGUCCACGCCGUAAACGGUGGGCACUAGGUGUGGGACCCAUUCCACGGGUUCCGUGCCGUAGCUAACGCAUUAAGUGCCCCGCCUGGGGAGUACGGCCGCAAGGCUAAAACUCAAAGGAAUUGACGGGGGCCCGCACAAGCGGCGGAGCAUGCGGAUUAAUUCGAUGCAACGCGAAGAACCUUACCUGGGUUUGACAUAUACCGGAAACAUCUGGAGACAGGUGCCCCGCAAGGUCGGUAUACAGGUGGUGCAUGGCCGUCGACAGCU
rnacentral:rRNA from 1 species